GUGUCAGCCGCCGCGGUAAUACGUAGGUUGCGAGCGUUGUCCGGAUUUACUGGGCGUAAAGCGCGCGCAGGCGGUCUCGAAAGCCCACCGUGAAAGCUCUCGGCCCAACUGAGAGAGGCCGGUGGGAACUUCGGGACUUGAAGGCGGGAGAGGCAGAUGGAAUUUCCGGUGUAGCGGUAAAAUGCGUAGAUACCGGAAGGAACACCAGUGGCGAAGGCGAUCUGCUGGCCCGCACUUGACGCUCAGGCGCGAAAGCUAGGGUAGCGACCGGGAUUAGAAACCCUCGUAGUCC
rnacentral:rRNA from 1 species